UACGGGGGGAGCAAGCGUUGUUCGGAUUUACUGGGCGUAAAGGGCGCGUAGGCGGCCAGCACAAGUCAGUUGUGAAAUCUCCGAGCUUAACUCGGAAAGGUCAACUGAUACUGUGCGGCUAGAGUGCAGAAGGGGCAACUGGAAUUCUCGGUGUAGCGGUGAAAUGCGUAGAGAUCGGCAGGAACACCCAGGGGGAAACCAGUCGACUGGGCAUCUACUGACGCUGAGGUGCGAGAGCGUGGGGAGCGAACCGG
rnacentral:rRNA from 1 species